rnacentral:rRNA from 1 species
AUUGAACGCUGGCGGCAUGCCUUACACAUGCAAGUCGAACGGCAGCACGGGAGCAAUCCUGGUGGCGAGUGGCGAACGGGUGAGUAAUAUAUCGGAACGUGCCCAGUCGUGGGGGAUAACGCAGCGAAAGCUGUGCUAAUACCGCAUACGAUCUACGGAUGAAAGCGGGGGAUCGCAAGACCUCGCGCGAUUGGAGCGGCCGAUAUCAGAUUAGCUAGUUGGUGAGGUAAAGGCUCACCAAGGCGACGAUCUGUAGCUGGUCUGAGAGGACGCCAGCCACACUGGAACUGAGACACGGUCCAGACGCCUACGGGAGGCAGCAGUGGGGAAUUGUGGACAAUGGGCGCAAGCCUGAUCCAGCAAUGCCGCGUGCAGGAUGAAGGCCUUCGGGUUGUAAACUGCUUUUGUACGGAACGAAACGGUGAGCUCUAAUACAGUUUGCUAAUGACGGUACCGUAAGAAUAAGCACCGGCUAACUACGUGCCAGCAGCCGCGGUAAGAC